GUGCUGCUACCUUUCAUGGCACAUGUGUGAAAAGUGGAAUGAUACAAAGAAAACUACCAUAGUCCUUGCUCAAGUAUGACACACAAACUUAGAAUUCCAUGAGUCCU
ensembl:snRNA U6 U6 spliceosomal RNA